rnacentral:rRNA from 1 species
GACGAACGCUGGCGGCGUGCCUAAUACAUGCAAGUAGAACGCACAGUUUAUACCGUAGCUUGCUACACCAUAGACUGUGAGUUGCGAACGGGUGAGUAACGCGUAGGUAACCUGCCUGGUAGCGGGGGAUAACUAUUGGAAACGAUAGCUAAUACCGCAUAAUAUUAAUUAUUGCAUGAUAAUUAAUUUAAAGGUGCAAUUGCACCACUACCAGAUGGACCUGCGUUGUAUUAGCUAGUAGGUGAGGUAACGGCUCACCUAGGCGACGAUACAUAGCCGACCUGAGAGGGUGAUCGGCCACACUGGGACUGAGACACGGCCCAGACUCCUACGGGAGGCAGCAGUAGGGAAUCUUCGGCAAUGGACGAAAGUCUGACCGAGCAACGCCGCGUGAGUGAAGAAGGUUUUCGGAUCGUAAAGCUCUGUUGUAAGACAAGAACGGGUGUGAGAGUGGAAAGUUCACACUGUGACGGUAUCUUACCAGAAAGGGACGGCUAACUACGUG